rnacentral:rRNA from 1 species
UACGGAGGGUGCAAGCGUUGUCCGGAAUCACUGGGCGUAAGGGGCGCGUAGGCGGCUCGGUAAGUAGGGGGUGAAAUCCUGCGGCUUAACCGCAGGGCUGCCUUCUAAACUGUCGAGCUUGAGCACGGUAGAGGCAGAUGGAAUUCCCGGUGUAGCGGUGGAAUGCGUAGAGAUCGGGAAGAACAUCAGUGGCGAAGGCGGUCUGCUGGGCCGUUGCUGACGCUGAGGCGCGACAGCGUGGGGAGCAAACAGG